GGGCAAGUGCGCGNUGCUAUACAUGCAGUAGAACGCUGAAGAGAGGAGCUUGCUCUUCUUGGAUGAGUUGCGAACGGGUGAGUAACGCGUAGGUAACCUGCCUUGUAGCGGGGGAUAACUAUUGGAAACGAUAGCUAAUACCGCAUAACAAUGGAUGACACAUGUCAUUUAUUUGAAAGGGGCAAUUGCUCCACUACAAGAUGGACCUGCGUUGUAUUAGCUAGUAGGUGAGGUAAUGGCUCACCUAGGCGACGAUACAUAGCCGACCUGAGAGGGUGAUCGGCCACACUGGGACUGAGACACGGCCCAGACUCCUACGGGAGGCAGCAGUAGGGAAUCUUCGGCAAUGGGGGCAACCCUGACCGAGCAACGCCGCGUGAGUGAAGAAGGUUUUCGGAUCGUAAAGCUCUGUUGUAAGUCAAGAACGGGUGUGAGAGUGGAAAGUUCACACUGUGACGGUAGCUUACCAGAAAGGGACGGCUAACUACGUGCCAGCAGCCGCGGUAAUACGUAGGUCCCGAGCGUUGUCCGGAUUUAUUGGGCGUAAAGCGAGCGCAGGCGGUUUGAUAAGUCUGAAGUUAAAGGCUGUGGCUCAACCAUAGUUCGCUUUGGAAACUGUCAAACUUGAGUGCAGAAGGGGAGAGUGGAAUUCCAUGUGUAGCGGUGAAAUGCGUAGAUAUAUGGAGGAACACCGGUGGCGAAAGCGGCUCUCUGGUCUGUAACUGACGCUGAGGCUCGAAAGCGUGGGGAGCGAACAGGAUUAGAUACCCUGGUAGUCCACGCCGUAAACGAUGAGUGCUAGGUGUUGGAUCCUUUCCGGGAUUCAGUGCCGCAGCUAACGCAUUAAGCACUCCGCCUGGGGAGUACGACCGCAAGGUUGAAACUCAAAGGAAUUGACGGGGGCCCGCACAAGCGGUGGAGCAUGUGGUUUAAUUCGAAGCAACGCGAAGAACCUUACCAGGUCUUGACAUCCCGAUGCUAUUUCUAGAGAUAGAAAGUUACUUCGGUACAUCGGUGACAGGUGGUGCAUGGUUGUCGUCAGCUCGUGUCGUGAGAUGUUGGGUUAAGUCCCGCAACGAGCGCAACCCCUAUUGUUAGUUGCCAUCAUUCAGUUGGGCACUCUAGCGAGACUGCCGGUAAUAAACCGGAGGAAGGUGGGGAUGACGUCAAAUCAUCAUGCCCCUUAUGACCUGGGCUACACACGUGCUACAAUGGUUGGUACAACGAGUUGCGAGUCGGUGACGGCGAGCUAAUCUCUUAAAGCCAAUCUCAGUUCGGAUUGUAGGCUGCAACUCGCCUACAUGAAGUCGGAAUCGCUAGUAAUCGCGGAUCAGCACGCCGCGGUGAAUACGUUCCCGGGCCUUGUACACACCGCCCGUCACACCACGAGAGUUUGUAACACCCGAAGUCGGUGAGGUAACCUUUGGAGCCAGCCGCCUAAGGUGGGGACAGAUGAGUGG
rnacentral:rRNA from 1 species